rnacentral:rRNA from 1 species
GGGUGAGUAAUGUAUGAGCAACCUGCCUUCAGUGGGGGGACAACAGUUGGAAACGACUGCUAAUACCGCAUGAUGUCAAUUGGGGGCAUCCCCGAAUGACCAAAGGAUUUAUCGCUGAAAGAUGGGCUCAUAUCUGAUUAGCUAGUUGGUGAGGUAACGGCUCACCAAGGCUGCGAUCAGUAGCCGGACUGAGAGGUUGAACGGCCACAUUGGGACUGAGAUACGGCCCAGACUCCUACGGGAGGCAGCAGUGGGGAAUAUUGGGCAAUGGGCGAAAGCCUGACCCAGCAACGCCGCGUGAAGGAAGAAGGUCUUCGGAUUGUAAACUUCUUUUAUGAGGGACGAAGGACGUGACGGUACCUCAUGAAUAAGCCACGGCUAACUACGUGCCAGCAGCCGCGGUAAUACGUAGGUGGCAAGCGUUAUCCGGAUUUACUGGGUGUAAAGGGCGCGUAGGCGGGGAUGCAAGUCAGAUGUGAAAUCUAUGGGCUUAACCCAUAAACUGCAUUUGAAACUGUAUCUCUUGAGUGCUGGAGAGGUAGACGGAAUUCCUUGUGUAGCGGUGAAAUGCGUAGAUAUUAGGAAGAACACCAGUGGCGAAGGCGGUCUACUGGACAGUAACCGACGCUGAGGCGCGAGAGCGUGGGGAGCAAACAGGAUUAGAUACCCUGGUAGUCCACGCUGUAAACGAUGAAUACUAGGUGUGGGGGGACU